GCAGACAUAGCUCAGUGUUAUAAGUGCCUGCCUGGCAAGCACAAGGUCCUGAGUUCUAUUCCCGGUACCAAAAAAAAAAAGAAAAAUAAGGUAAAAGUGUGAUGGGCUUGGCUUUGUUUCUUCACUGUAUUUUCUAUUUUCCCAGACUUUGGACCCACGUCUUUGCUAGCACUUUAGGAACUGUCCCAUCUGCAGAAUGAAAGGUCUCAGGCCCAAGGCCAAGGCCGCAGGCUCCAGGUUUCUGAGCCUGGUACCCUGAGUUCAUUGAUUCUACCACCGCAGUAGAGUGGCACCCUUACCCUUAUCUUGCUGGAGCUUCAUAGGCUGAUCUAGAAGGCUGAUUUCUCAGCAGGGCAGUUAUGUGUCUUGGAACACUGCAGGGGUUUCACUAAAUUGCGAGGCUCCUGCCUCUGUCACGAGGAGCAGGGCUACAGCGCGCUUCCCCAGGCAGACCUGCACUCUCCUUCAUCUCCAGAGAUCUAACAUUGGCUACUGCACGCCUGCCACACACAUGGAGGGGGCCCGGGGCCUGUGAUCCUAGCCUUCGCUCAUGCGCUGCAUCUUGUUGGGUUGUCACGCCUAUGGUUUCGUGGACGAAGGGUGUUGAUGGCUCCCAGCAUCACGCAGGAAGUGGGGUGAAAAGUGGCAGCCGUGUCCCUCUCUACCCUCCUCCAGCAACGAACGGGCACUCCCCCAACAACAUACUGGCCCCCAGCAAGGCUGACUUCCGUGCCCCUCUCAUUGGCCAAAGGUCAGCUCCACGGGCAAAAGACACAAAAACCUUAGGCUUUCCAAUCUCAGCUGUGGUGAGACAGGCGAGGAGGAGGGCUGGGAAAGGUGAUU